rnacentral:rRNA from 1 species
GACGAACGCUGGCGGCGUGCCUAAUACAUGCAAGUUGAGCGCUGAAGGUUGGUACUUGUACCAACUGGAUGAGCAGCGAACGGGUGAGUAACGCGUGGGGAAUCUGCCUUUGAGCGGGGGACAACAUUUGGAAACGAAUGCUAAUACCGCAUAAAAACUUUAAACACAAGUUUUAAGUUUGAAAGAUGCAAUUGCAUCACUCAAAGAUGAUCCCGCGUUGUAUUAGCUAGUUGGUGAGGUAAAGGCUCACCAAGGCGAUGAUACAUAGCCGACCUGGGAGGGUGAUCGGCCACAUUGGGACUGAGACACGGCCCAAACUCCUACGGGAGGCAGCAGUAGGGAAUCUUCGGCAAUGGACGAAAGUCUGACCGAGCAACGCCGCGUGAGUGAAGAAGGGUUUCGGAUCGUAAAACUCUGUUGGUAGAGAAGAAAGUUGGUGAGAGUGGAAAGCUCAUCAAGUGACGGUAACUACCCAGAAAGGGACGGCUAACUACGUG